rnacentral:misc_RNA from 1 species
GAUGAAGAACGUAGCGAAAUGCGAUAAGUAAUGUGAAUUGCAGAAUUCAGUGAAUCAUCGAAUCUUUGAACGCACAUUGCGCCCGCCAGCAUUCUGGCGGGCAUGCCUGUUCGAGCGUCAUUUCAACCCUCGAGCCCCCCCGGGGGCCUCGGUGUUGGGGGACGGCACACCAGCCGCCCCCGAAAUGCAGUGGCGACCCCGCCGCAGCCUCCCCUGCGUAGUAGCACACACCUCGCACCGGAGCGCGGAGGCGGUCACGCCGUAAAACGCCCAACUUUCUUAGAGUUGACCUCGGAUCAGGUAGGAAUACCCGCUGAACUUAAGGAUAUCAAUAAGCGGAGGA